rnacentral:tRNA from 1 species
GCAUAAGUAGCUCAGCAAAGAGCGCCGGUCUUGUAAGCCGGCGGCCGGAGACUAAGACCCUCCCUUUUGCU